UUUUUAAAGUUCACAAACCCCUUGAACUUUAUCCAUGAGAUUUUCUGAUGACCCAAUGACUUAAUCCUGCUACUGACUUAAUCAAAACCCAGUCCCUACAGAAGAGACCUGCUCCCCCGUCACAGCGCCCCCCGGCUCCCCAUGCCGCUUAUUUUAAAAGCGCAGCUCCCACAGGCUGCCUUUCCUUCAGUUUCUGUCCAUGCCCCCAGCCCCAGGCUGCCCUCUCUUGGCAGCACCGUCCCACCCCGCCUGCUGCACUGAGCCCGCUGGGCCUGGGGGAUUCUUGCUCAGUAGAACCCGAGGCCAGCAAAAGCUCUUAGCCCAGGAUGGCUGCAGCAGCGACAGUCCUGAAGGCUACAGAGACACCUGGAAAGGGAACAAGGAGAGCACGACAGUCCCUGUGCUGAGGAUCCAGGGUGGUGGUGGCAGGGGUUAGUGUACAGUCUCGAGAAAACAGGGCGGCGGCAGGGGGCUGAACUGACCUCUAUACACCGAGAGGGUUUUUAAAGUUGAAUGACAAGGGCACAGCUACAGGAACGACCCCGGGAAGAAGUCCCGUGACGGCUGGAGUCAGAAGCCCCUGAAACAAGCACCUCCCCAGUGAGGCCCCACCCUGUACCCAGGGUGCUCAUGACCACCCCCCAGGCUCCGCAGCCUGGCCAGAGACCACCGAGGCCCCAGGAGGGGCUUCAGAGAUGGAGAUGAAGCUGCAUCUCCGAGCCAUGAGGCCCAGUGGGGCCCGGACAGAGGGAGCCUGGUGUUCACACACCACAUCUGUUUUCCAACAAAGUCAAAACACGCUGGGCCCUUUCAGAAGACCCCCAGCACCCGACACCUAAACUAAGACCCCAGGCGUCGGGCGAGGCCAGACCCAGGAGAUCACAGCCUGUAGCGGGGACAGAAAGAUGUGCACUCCUGGAAGCGUCCGGCAACUUCUCUCUUGUUCAAGUGGCACCCCAGGUCCAGAGCGGGGCUUGUGGGGAGAGGAGCACGGGGGCUUUGUCCUCGGAGGCACAGAGCUCCAAGCAAGGGCUGAGCAGCAGCUGGGAGUCUCCCGGAGGCCAGAACAUUACUGGCCCCGUGUGCACAUGCGCCUUCUUGGAGUCCCAAAAGGCAGAUACCACGUAUCCCACCAAAUAUCUACUUACAGAUUGGGAAAUUGAGGCAAAAAGCUCAGGCAAUUCCCACAAGGCCACAGAGCUGGUAAGCGGUGGGGUUGAGAUUCAGUGGCAACGGGCCGAGGUCUCCUGGGUGUGGUGUGGACCCUGAUGGUGAGCAGGGUGGGGACCUCCUCGAGCCCCCAUGGAAUCAGGCUGCUUACCAUCACCUUCUCCUUGGCACCGGCCCCUACCACCCUGCUGAAGACCCUCCUGGGCCUCUCCUCACGUCUCCUUUUCCUGCCCCUCUCUCAGGGGAGCUUUCCAAGCUGAUGGCCUGACUGUGCCACCCCAACCUGGCAUUUGAAGGCCUUCAGGAGUGAGGCCAUGUCCAUAACCCGCGUCUCCACUGAACCCUACGCCAGCCCCUACACGAGCCCCAAGCCUGGCUGCUGCUUUACGACACACCUCCAUACAGCCCCUGCCCUUCACCCCUGCCCAGGGAAAUUUAGUGGGCACAGCGCCUUGCCUGCUGCCCCACAGCGAAGAAUGCUGUCCUGCCAGACACCACAGACAGCAGUGGACACGCAUUCUUCCAGAACCAGCCCAGAUCCUGCCUCUAGGGUGAGUUGCCUGAUGGUUCUUGACUCCGAUCUCCUACCCGGUGCAACACGGGGAGGGUGCUGGCCCUGCCUGCCCUGGCUCCUCAAGAGCAGGCUGGGGUUGCCUUUCCCGAGGGGUCCCCACUACACCAGCCCCAGUGUCGGAGGGGUUGGGGGUCAGCGCAGAGGGUGGCACGUACCAAAGCCAAUGAGGCCCAGCGUCUCCCCACGGAUGCGGGCCGCUCCCGAGGCCACCUCGCGGAUCUGCUCCACGCUCUGAACCCGCGUGCCUUCCCGCAGUGCCUGGUACAGCCACGUGUUCCUCCGGUACAGAUUGAGGAUGUGGCAGAUGGUAGAGUCCGCUGUCUCUUCCACGGCUGCAGACGGGAUGUUGCACACAGCAAUUCCUGAAAGGGAUGAGGCCAAGGCCGGAGAUGAGAAAACCUCAAGAUCAGUGGGGAAGCCCCAGGGCUCCCAGCCCGCCCUCCUGAGACAUGGUUGUUGGCACUGGGGGAGGCCCACCUUAUCGUCUAGCAGACGCAGGGCUGGGCACGUGGGCGGUAGGCCCUCCGGCUCUGAUGCUUGGGAGGCUCUAGCCCCAACAUCUACCCCUCCCUCCCAAGGAGGACUUUUGCUCCAGGACGUGGCUCAUGACCAACCCAACCCCUAUGGCUGAUUUUGGGCCUGACUGGCUUCCUCCUGGGCUUGCACUGAGUCCCAAGAAAGGACCCGGAGUGGCAGGAAGCCAGCGGGCCUAAGACCAGACUCCUCCAAGUGGACCCCACUCAGCCUCAAACCCCUCAGGGUCUCCCUCACGGAGCUGGCAGGGUGACAAAGAAUGGCUUUUGGUUUUCAGGUAUGCUAACAGUUUGAUGCAAAAAACAUACGUUUUAAACAUACUGGUUUUAAAAAAACACCUCCACCCCCACAUGGAUGCAAGGGCUGGCCCCGGGAACGGAACCGAUGUCCGAAGCGUGUGCACAAUCGCCCCGUUGUCCUGUGCUCAGCACCCUGCUCUGCUGGGAAGAACUCAGAGCAGACGGGAUGCCCUCCCUGCCCCGUGGAGCAGCCUUCAGGUCAGGGCCGAGGGUGGCUUGGGGUGAGCCCUCUGGCCCCACACGAGCUGCAGAGACCAGGGUCAAGUAUCUCCCAGCACAAAGCAGCUGUGGCGUGGAGAGUUAACCCAAGUCAUAGGCAGAAAGGGCCCUGCCAUUUAUCCUCCUCAGCCAGAGGGUGUCUGGGGAAGAAUGAAUGACUGCCAGAUACAACAGGGGUGCAAGCAGGCAGAGGGCCAGGCUGGGAACGGCCCCUCCCUACACCCGACAGGUGGAGAUCCAGAGGCCUGCUUGCAGCAGAGACCAGAGGGGCCGAGCCAGGGGCGGGGCCCCAGAGGGUGGGCUCAGCAGCCAGCCUGUGGCUCCCAGUUGAGCUCUCUGAGGAGGGGUGUGGCUACCUGGGCAUCACGUCAGCCCAAGUGAAAAGGUUCCCUCCUAAUCCCAGGUUUGGGACCCUUAGGAGAGUGUCUCUCCCAGCAAGGGGUGCCCAAGGCACUGGGACAGGGCCACCUUUAAGGCAGCCCAGGAUUCCUCUAUCUUAAGUCCUGAAGAUUGGGGUGGGGACAGAUUGAGGUGGGGACAGAUUGGGGUGGGGACGGCAAUCACCAAGGCAGCUUCUUCGGCUCUACUGGACAGGAAACAAGACCAGUGGGUGCCACAAACCCACUUUCUAGACGGCUGCGUGGCUGUCUCCCCACAAGGGCCACCCCUAGGUCUAGGGCCUUGAGAGUGACCCGCUUAGCAAGACACACAGCUCAGAGAAGGUGAAGCCACUGUGAGCAGGUCACCCACCCACCCAACGUGGCCACUGAGGGCUCCUCUGGGCCACAGACACCUGCCAAGGGAACAGUGUGGUUGACUGUGACUGAGGCCGACCAACUUUCCCACGAGCUGGAUGCCAGGAAUCUUGCAGGAAACUGGCCUCAUUCAUUUGAAAUAGCUCAGCAGAGAAGCUGGGGCUUGAUCACAUGCCAUGUUAUUAUUAAGUCAGAUAGACUGAGGCUGAUGCCAGAGGUUCAAGAAAAUCUUUGGCGGCUGGGACAAUUUUCAUUCCUCGGGCAGGCUAAAGCCCAGCAGGGAGGCCCCGCAGCAGAAUCACCCUCAAGGACGCUGGCUCCGUGCUGCUGCCGGGGCUGGCUCGGCAGUGCUGCCUGGCGUGAACAGCAGCACCUCCUCCUAGGAGAUGAGCUGAUGCUGGCUGAGAGACCCCACAAGGCCACGUGUGUAAAGGCACCCGGGUGGGUGUGGCACAUAAAGGCAGGUUGAGGCAGGACAUCUGUUCAGUCUUCUCACCGAACUUGGACAUUCAGCUCCUUGGUUCCACUGCUCACCGGAGUGCAGAGUCCCAGGACGGGGAGAUGGUGCAGGAGGAAGAGCUGCGGCCACUGCCUGGGAUGGUAGAACCUUCCCACCCAGACCGCAGCGGCGCCACUGCCAGGAACCUCCAUAACCUCACCGCUCUCUCGGAGGGAGCAUCUUCUUAGCUGUCCUAUAUCGCUCUGUGGAUGCGGCCUCCCUUCUGGAUGAGUCAAGCUGAUCCUUCAAGUGCCACACGAUGGUUGGCUCUGAUACUCGCAGGCUGGGCCUCCCAGCGUCCACGGAGCCCGGAAAACGGCCCCAAAGAGGCAAGCUGCUUUUCUCUCACGGUCAGUGCCAUCGUGCUUUAAUCCCUUCAUGACUGCCGCUGCCACGGAAACCACAUAAACCAGCUUGCUAGAGGCGGCGGGGGUGGGGAGGGGUGUAGGGCUCUCUCGAGGUCUUCCCAGCUCGUGGGGAGAAGUGCAGGUGAGCAGCUUCCUCAAGCCUCGCCCUGCUCUUGCCGUGAAGCGCCGACUCUCGCCUGUCAUUCCAGGGCUGACAGCUCAGAGCCUUGCGAUCCCAGAAGGUGUCACCAGAGGCCUAGUGUGCUGCCUCGUGCAACAUGGAGGGCCCUGUUUUCUGGGCCUGCGAGGGACCCUCUUUCAUCAGGAGAGGGCCUGCCUGCAGCCACCUGCCGCUCCCAGCCCUCAGCACAAAAGGCCCGCUGACCGCAUGAUGUGGGGAAUAUGCAUUCGGAGACAAAGGACGUCUGGACAGAGGCUCAUUUUCCGCCUCCAGAGUCUACAUUCGAAAAGUGUCCUUUAAAAGGGCCCCGCAGAUGUCUUCCAAGCGCCCUUAUCAGAUGGGACCAGGAUCAAUGAAAAUCCACCACUCACAGCCCUUCUACAUUUUCCAAAACCGCAGUCCCUGGUCCUGGUCGUCUUCUGUGGGUCUUAGAACUCAGGGAACACAACGUCCCAUCUCGGCCCUCCCAGGCCCCCCGUCAUUGAGGCCUUGGUGCCUUUCUGGCCCCACUGCCUGUGCGGGGCACUUCUAGAAAUGGGAAGUUCCACCGGCAAGGACCUCCCCUCUCUCCCUGGAAAGCAGCGUCUGGUCCAGCCGAGGAAGGGCAGGGUCAGCACCUGUAUGGGCCUGGGAGCUGUGUGGUGAGGGGCCGACGUGCUGGAGAAGCAAGAGGUGUGCGGGGGACAAGGAUUUGAGAGCCCCUGGCACAUGAAGCUGUAUUCUCCUCUGCUGUUGAAACUUGGGAUUUCAGCUCUACCCAGAGCACAAAGGACAUUUGUUUUCAAACAAAAAUAUCCUUGUUUGUGCCAGGGAAAGAUGGAAAAUUUUAGUUUAUAUUAAACACGCCUUUGAAGAC
rnacentral:antisense_RNA from 1 species